AGUUCGAUUAUGGCUCAGAUUGAACGCUGGCGGGAUGCUUUACACAUGCAAGUCGAACGGCAGCACGGACUUCGGUCUGGUGGUGGUGGCAAAACGGGUGAGUAAUGUAUCGGAACUGAUGCCUAGUAGCGGGGGAUAACUACGCAGCGUAAUACCGCAUACGCCCUUCGAGGAAAGCGGGGGACCUUUGGACUCGCACUAUUAGAAGCAGUGAUAUCGGAUUAGCUAGUUGGUGAGAUAACGGCUCACCAAGGCGACGAUCGUAGCUGGUUGAGAGGACGACCAGCCACACUGGGACUGGAAUACGGCCAGACUCCUACGGGAGGCAGCAGUGGGGGAAUUUUGGACAAUGGGGAAGCCUGAUCCAGCCAUCCGCGUGUGCGAUGAAGACUUCGGGUUGUAAAGCACUUUUGGCGGAAAGAAACGGCACGGGAUAAUACCCCGUGCAACUGACGGUACCUGCAAGAAUAAGCGCAAACUAACACGUGCCAACAACCGCGGUAAUACGUAGAUUUGAAAGCGUUAAUCGGAAUUACUGGGCGUAAAGCGUGCGCGACGGUUCGGAAAGAAAAGAUGUGAAAUCCCAGAGCUUAACUUUGGGAACUGCAUUUUUAACUACCGAGCUAGAGUGUGUCAGAGGAGGUGGAAUUCCGCGUGUGGCAGUGAAAUGCGUAGAUAUGCGGAGGAACACCGAUGGCGAAAACAGCCUCCUGGGAUAACACUGACGCUCAUGCACGAAAAGCGUGGGGAGCAAACAGGAUUAGAUACCCUGGUAGUCCACGCCCUAAACGAUGUCAACUAGCUGUUGAGGCCUCGGGCCUUGGUAGCGCAGCUAACGCGUGAAGUUGACCGCCGCCUGAGAAUUACGGUCGCAAGAUUAAAACUCAAAGGAAUUGACGGGGACCCGCACAAGCGGUGGAUGAUGUGGAUUAAUUCGAUGCAACGCGAAAAACCUUACCUACCCUUGACAUGUCUGGAAUCCGAAGAGAUUUGAGAGUGCUCGCAAAGAGCCGGAACACAGGUGCUGCAUGGCUGUCGUCAGCUCGUGUCGUGAGAUGUUGGGUUAAGUCCCGCAACGAGCGCAACCCUUGUCAUUAGUUGCUACGAAAGAGGGCACUCUAAUGAGACUGCCGGUGACAAACCGGAGGAAGGUGGGGAUGACGUCAGUCCUCGCUGGCCCUUAUGGGUAGGGCUUCACGUCAUACAAUGGUCGGGACCGGGGUCCAUCUUCAACCCGCGAGGGGGGAGCCAAUCCGAAACCCGAUCGUAGUCCGGAUGCAGUGCAACUCGACUGCGUGAAGUCGAGAAUCGCUGGCAAUCGCGAAUCAGCAUCGCGGUGAAUACGUUCCCGGGUCUUGUACACACCGCCCGUCACACCAUGGGAGUGGGUUUUACCAAGUAGUUAGCCUAACCAUAAGGAGGGCGGUGCAGUAGGAUUAUUGACUGGGGUGAUCGUAACAAGGUAG
rnacentral:rRNA from 1 species